rnacentral:lncRNA from 1 species
CGUGUCCCAUGCGUGUCUAUGUGUGUCCCAUGUGAGUCCGUGUGUGUCCCAUGUUGUCACGUGUGUCCACGUGUGUCCCGUGUGUGUGAGUCCAUGUGUGUCCCGUGUUGUCACGUGUGUCCACGUGUGUCCCAUGUGAGUCCAUGUGCGUCCCAUGUUGUCACGUGUUGACACGUGUUGUCACGUGUGUGUGAGUCCAUGUGUGUCCCAUGUUGUCACGUGUGUCCAUGUGUGUCCACGUGUGUCCACGUGUGUCCCAUGUGAGUCCAUGUGUGUCCCAUGUUGUCACGUGUCCAUGUAUGUCCCAUGUCAGUCCAUGCGUGUCUCAUGUGAGUCCAUGUGCAUCCCAUGUUGUCACGUGUGUCCAUGUAUGUCCCAUGUGAGUACAUGCGUGUCCCAUGUGUCCUCAUGUGCAUCCCAUGUUGUCAGACGUGUGCCAUGUGUGUCCACGUGUGUCCCAUGUCCCCACACAUGUGCUGUGCUACAUGCAUGUGCUGUUACACGUGUGUCCACGUGUGUCCCGUGUGUGUGAGUCCAUGUGUGUCCCAUGCUGUCACGUGUGCCCAUGUAUGUCCCAUGUGAGUCCAUGUGUGUCCCAUGUGAGUCCAUGUGCAUCCCAUGUUGUCACGUGUGUCCAUGCGUGUCCCAUGUGAGUCCAUGCGUGUCCAUGUGUGUUCCAAGUGAGUCCAUGUGAGUUCAUACAUGUCCCAUGUUGUCAAGUGUUUCCAUGUGUGUCCCAUGCCAGUCCAUGCGUGUCCCGUGUUGUCACGUGUGUCCAUGUGUGUCCCAUGUGAGUCCAUGUAUGUCCCAUGUUGUCACGUGUGUCCAUGUAUGUCUCAUGUGAGUCCAUGUAUGUCCCAUGUCAGUCCAUGUGUGUUCCAUGUGAGUCCAUGUGCAUCCCAUGUUGUCACGUGUGUCCAUGUAUGUCCCAUGUGAGUACAUGCGUGUCCCAUGUGUCCUCAUGUGCAUCCCAUGUUGUCAGACGUGUGCCAUGUGUGUCCACGUGUGUCCCAUGUCCCCACACAUGUGCUGUGCUACAUGCAUGUGCUGUUACACACAUGUGCUGCGCCCCACUCAUGUCCUGUGCUACAUCCAUGUUCCUGUGCUACAUCCAUGUCCUAUGUUACACACAUGUCCUGUGCCCCACUCAUGUCCUGUGCUACAUACAUGUUCCUGUGCUACAUCCAUGUCCUGUGUUACAUACAUGUCCCUUGCCCCACAUGUGUUCCAUGCUACAUACAUGUCCUACACUACAUGCAUGUCCUAUGUUACACACAUGUCCUGUAACCCACACAUGUCCUGUGCUACAUCCAUGUCCUGUGUUACAUACAUGUCCUGUGUUACACACGUGUCCUAUGUUACAUACAUGUCCCGUGCCCCACACGUGUCCCAUGCUACAUACAUGUCCUCAGCUACAUACAUGUCCUAUGUUACACACAUGUCCUGUACCCUCCACACAUCCUGUGCUACAUACAUGUCCUAUGUUAUAUCCAUGUCCUAUGUUACACACAUAUCCUGUGCUACAUACAUGUCCCAUGCCCCACACGUGUUCCAUGCUACAUACAUGCCCUCAGCUACAUCCAUGUCCUAUGUUACACACGUGUCCUGUGCCCCACACAUAUCCUGUGCUACAUACAUGUCCUGUGUUACAUCCAUGUCCUAUGUUACAUACAUGUCCUGUACCCUCCACACAUCCUGUGCUACAUACAUGUCCUAUGUUACAUACAUGUCCUGUGCUACAUACAUGUCCUGUGUUACAUACAUGUCCUGUAUCCUGCACGUAUCCUAUGCUACAUACAUGUCCUAUGUUACACACAUGUCCUAUGUUACAUCCAUGUCCUAUGUUACAUACAUGUCCUAUGCUACAUCCAUGUCCUGUGUUACACACAUGUCCUAUGUUACACACAUGUCCCAUGCCCCACACGUGUCCCGUGCUACAUACGUGUGCUACGCUACAUCCAUGUCCCCACCCAAAUAUCCCCC